rnacentral:rRNA from 1 species
UCCGGUUGAUCCUGCCGGUCCCGACCGCUAUCGGGGUGGGGCUAAGCCAUGGGAGUCGUACGCCCCGCCGCUGCGGGGCGUGGCGGACGGCUGAGUAACACGUGGCUAACCUACCCUCGGGAGGGGGAUAACACCGGGAAACUGGUGCUAAUCCCCCAUAGAGGAGGGGGCCUGGAAGGGUCCCUCCUCGAAAAGGUGUGGCGGGGGUUAACGCUGCCGCACCGCCCGAGGAUGGGGCUACGGCCCAUUAGGUAGUUGGCGGGGUAACGGCCCGCCAAGCCGAUAAUGGGUAGGGGCCGUGAGAGCGGGAGCCCCCAGAUGGGCACUGAGACAAGGGCCCAGGCCCUACGGGGCGCACCAGGCGCGAAACCUCCGCAAUGCGGGAAACCGUGACGGGGCCACCCCGAGUGCCCCCUUACGGGGGCUUUUCCCCGCUGUAGGAAGGCGGGGGAAUAAGCGGGGGGCAAGUCUGGUGUCAGCCGCCGCGGUAAUACCAGCCCCGCGAGUGGUCGGGACGAUUAUUGGGCCUAAAGCGCCCGUAGCCGGCUCGACAAGUCUCCUCCUAAAUCCUCGGGCUCAACCCGAGGACUGGAGGAGAUACUGUCGAGCUAGGGGGUGGGAGAGGCCGAGGGUACUCCCGGGGUAGGGGCGAAAUCCUAUAAUCCCGGGAGGACCACCAGUGGCGAAGGCGCUCGGCUGGAACACGCCCGGCGGUGAGGGGCGAAAGCCGGGGGAGCGAACCGGAUUAGAUACCCGGGUAGUCCCGGCUGUAAACGAUGCGGGCUAGGUGUUGGGUGGGCCUAGAGCCCACCCAGUGCCGCAGGGAAGCCGUUAAGCCCGCCGCCUGGGGGGUACGGCCGCAAGGCUGAAACUCAAAGGAAUUGGCGGGGGAGCACCACAAGGGGUGGAGCCUGCGGUUCAAUUGGAGUCAACGCCGGG